UGAGCUGCAUUGGCGGGAUUUCGCCGUCUACGUUUCUCUUUCUUCGCGGACGAACACGCGCUGGGGCUGCAAGCUGCAGAAUCCCCGGUCCUUAACAGGAUAUGCGUUAGGGGCUUGUAGCUCAGUUGGUUAGAGCGCGCGCUUGAUAAGCGUGAGGUCGGAAGUUCAAGUCUUCCCAGGCCCACCACUUUCAUCGAGUGAGCAUUCGUCCUCUGGUUACGGGGCCAUAGCUCAGCUGGGAGAGCGCGUGCUUUGCAAGCAUGAGGUCGUCGGUUCGAUCCCGUCUGGCUCCACCAGAUGGUUUGAUCACCGAGAUCUUGUACCGUCGUCCGCGAACAUCACUUCGCACUUACUAGUCUGGAUAGACAGUAAGCUGCGUGAUUUCUUACAUCGUAAAGAGGAGAUCGAUCCGAGUUGGAUCGUGCGGCAAGCAAUUGCCACGCGAGACUUCAUUAUCUCCGGAUCAUUUCGGCGCUCGUGCGUCUUUCAAAGGCAGCUCACAAGGCUGCGCUUGAGGGACGGGCGAGUUGUAAAUGAUCCUUUUAGCGAAGCUUGACCGCCUCGCUAUCGGAACGAUCUUACGAAGCAAGCUGGUCUUUCUAAUCAUUGUCCGGCUGCAGAUAGCGUUCAUCGAGGGCGCGUGCCGCAAGGUAAUUCUGCAGACAACAUUCUGCCGAGUGUGUGGACAUUGAUAAUGAGAGCAAUCAAGUGCCUUAAGGUGUUCGGUGGAUGCCUUGCGCUGAGAGGCGAUGAAGGACGUGCUACGCUGCGAUAAGCCGUGGGAGCUGCGAAGAAGCUUU
rnacentral:misc_RNA from 1 species